AUACGGAGGAUGCGAGCGUUAUCCGGAUUUAUUGGGUUUAAAGGGAGCGUAGGUGGGAUAUUAAGUCAGCUGUGAAAGUUUGGGGCCCAACCUUAAAAUUGCAGUUGAUACUGGUUUCCUUGAGUACGGUAUAGGUGGGCGGAAUUCGUGGUGUAGCGGUGAAAUGCUUAGAUAUCACGAAGAACUCCGAUCGCGAAGGCAGCUCACCGGGCCGGAACUGACACUGAUGCUCGAAAGUGCGGGUAUCAAACAGGAUUAGAUACCCUGGUAGUCCGCACAGUAAACGAUGAAUACUCGCUGUUUGCGAUACACUGUAAGCGGCCAAGCGAAAGCGUUAAGUAUUCCACCUGGGGAGUACGCCGGCAACGGUGAAACUCAAAUGAAUUGACGGGG
rnacentral:rRNA from 1 species